AGCCAUCAGUCACCUUGAAGCGAUCAUGAAAAGAAAGAUUGAUGAUCUUGCAGUGAAAAUUAUGUACCAAGUAGAUGAAGUGGAAAAGAAUAAACAUAAGUUAAAUAGUGACAUUAUGUUCAAGAAACAGUUAAAAUCAAGAAAAAGGGAUUUAAUGUUGGAAGAACUCAACUAGAUGACAUUUUGGAAUUCAUUUUUGGAAAUGGAGAAACCAUAUGUAUAAUCAGAUUUAAUUAUGGAGGGAACAAGACCAAUAAAACAAGAGCCUGGAUCAAAUGAUGUUCAAACAAGGUAUUCAGAAAUAGCAGCCAUCAGUCACCUUGAAGAGAUCAUGAAAAGAAAGAUUGAUGAUCUUGCAGUGAAAAUCAUGUACCAAGUAGAUGAAGUGGAAAAGAAUAAACAUAAGUUAAAUAGUGACAUUAUGUUCAAGAAACAGUUAAAAUCAAGAAAAAGGGAUUUAAUGUUGGAAGAACUCAACUAGAUGACAUUUUGGAAUUCAUUUUUGGAAAUGGAGAAACCAUAUGUAUAAUCAGAUUUAAUUAUGGAGGGAACAAGACCAAUAAAACAAGAGCCUGGAUCAAAUGAUGUUCAAACAAGGUAUUCAGAAAUAGCAGCCAUCAGUCACCUUGAAGAGAUCAUGAAAAGAAAGAUUGAUGAUCUUGCAGUGAAAAUCAUGUACCAAGUAGAUGAAGUGGAAAAGAAUAAACAUAAGUUAAAUAGUGACAUUAUGUUCAAGAAACAGUUAAAAUCAAGAAAAAGGGAUUUAAUGUUGGAAGAACUCAACUAGAUGACAUUUUGGAAUUCAUUUUUGGAAAUGGAGAAACCAUAUGUAUAAUCAGAUUUAAUUAUGGAGGGAACAAGACCAAUAAAACAAGAGCCUGGAUCAAAUGAUGUUCAAACAAGGUAUUCAGAAAUAGCAGCCAUCAGUCACCUUGAAGCGAUCAUGAAAAGAAAGAUUGAUGAUCUUGCAGUGAAAAUCAUGUACCAAGUAGAUGAAGUGGACAUUUUGGAAUUCAUUUUUUGGAAAUGGAGAAACCAUAUGUAUGUUAUUUGAACAAUGAACUGUCUA